CCUACGGGAGACAGCAGUGAGGAAUAUUGGUCAAUGGGCGCAAGCCUGAACCAGCCAAGUCGCGUGAGGGAUGACGGUCCUAUGGAUUGUAAACCUCUUUUGUCGGGGAGCAAGGCCCGCCACGUGUGGCGGGAAGGAGAGUACCCUAAGAAAAAGCAUCGGCUAACUCCGUGCCAGCAGCCGCGGUAAUACGGAGGAUGCGAGCGUUAUCCGGAUUUAUUGGGUUUAAAGGGUGCGUAGGCGGAAGGUUAAGUCAGCGGUAAAAUGUCGGUGCUCAACACCGGCCUGCCGUUGAAACUGGUCUUCUUGAGUGAGCGAGAAGUAUGCGGAAGGCGUGGUGUAGCGGUGAAAUGCAUAGAGAUCACGCAGAACUCCGAUUGCGAAGGCAGCAUACCGGCGCUCAACUGACGCUGAGGCACGAAAGCGUGGGGAUCGAACAGGAUUAGAUACCCUGGUAGUC
rnacentral:rRNA from 1 species